rnacentral:rRNA from 1 species
UACGAGGGGGGCAAGCGUUGUCCGGAAUUAUUGGGCGUAAAGAGCUCGUAGGCGGUCUGUCGCGUCGGCUGUGAAAACCCGGGGCUCAAUCCCGGGCCUGCAGUCGAUACGGGCAGACUAGAGUGCGGUAGGGGAGACUGGAAUUCCUGGUGUAGCGGUGAAAUGCGCAGAUAUCAGGAGGAACACCGGUGGCGAAGGCGGGUCUCUGGGCCGUAACUGACGCUGAGGAGCGAAAGCGUGGGGAGCGAACAGG